rnacentral:lncRNA from 10 species
UACACGGUAUCUAUAGGGUGGCACUCCAGGCAAAGAAGAAGCAAUAACAAAAAAGAAAGGAAAGGAAAUGGCAUGCAGCACAUGCUGACAUGUGGACAGGAAGUGCUCUGUACUUACUUACUUACUGAAUAAACAUAUAACAGGAAGCCUUAGCCUUGCCUGGAAUGUCACAGAAGACGCAAGCAAAAGUUGGAGGCAUAAAUGGAAGGCUGAUAGGGGAGACAAGGUCUAACUAUG